AAUGUUACGCGUGUGGUACGAAAAUUGAAAGAAAAAAAAGCGAGCAAAAAAUGAAGGGUCCAACAAGUUUUGAAACGAAUUCCUCGAGACAGCACAGCUUCGGGAUACGAGUUUCACCCUGAUGAUGGUUUUUUGUGAAACAAGAUUCCAUAUGGGAGAAAGCAAACCAUAGGAGACACACUACCACCGUACGAUGAGGUCGAAGUCAACGGAGACUAGAAGCAACAACGAGGAACAGGUUCUGUAGGAACUGCAUUCAAGAGCGAGGAGUGGAUGGAACGGUUGACCUCUGCGGACGACGGAGCCGUCAUGCGAGUCAUUAACAUAACAAACGCAUAAUAAUAGCUUGUAGGCAUUACUGUUACCGCUACGUCGACUCUCGGGACGUUGGAGAAUCAAGUCGCUUACACUAACCUUUGUAUUUAUAUAACGAAAAGAGUGACGAUGGCAGAAGAAAUAAGGGUUUUCAAGUGCACGAUUUCGUGCUCAUUCGUGCGUCAUCAAAUAAACGACGAAUCUCUCUACGCUUGAAUUACUCGCAGUUGAGAGAAGAGUCAUGAUAAAUUAAAUACCGAAGGAAAAGGGAAAGGUAAUGUGUCGCAUUGAUUUACUCUUGGGAUUUCUUCUCACAUUACCAAUGAACGUUAAGAACGUGUGUCCGUGAUUCAAGAAUGAUCCCGAGAGAAAUCACGCCAAGUAUUUUACAGUUGAAUUCAUUAUCGGACG